GGCGCGGUGGCGGAAUUGGCAGACGCGCUAGGUUUAGGACCUAGUUCUCGUAUGAGAGUGAGAGUUCGAGUCUCUCCCGCGCCACCA
rnacentral:tRNA from 1 species